rnacentral:rRNA from 1 species
CAGUCGCCGCGGUAAUACCGAGGGUGCAAGCGUUAAUCGGAUUUACUGGGCGUAAAGGGCGCGUAGGUGGUUAUUUAGGUGAGAUGUGAAAGCCCCGGGCUUAACCUGGGAACUGCAUCUUAUACUGGGUAACUGGAGUGCAGUAGAGGGUAGUGGAAUUUCCGGUGUAGCGGUGAAAUGCGUAGAAAUCGGAAGGAACACCAGUGGCGAAGGCGGCUACCUGGACUGAGACUGACACUGAGGCGCGAGAGCGUGGGGAGCAAACAGGAUUAGAUACCCCUGUAGUCCCUGCCUCUUAUAC